AAGAGAUUAGUUAAACAAUAACAUUAAUUUGUCAAAUUAAAAUUAUUUUAAAAUAUAUCACUUA
rnacentral:tRNA from 1 species